AUACUUACCUGGCAGGGGAGAUACCAUGAUCACGAAGGUGGUUUUCCCAGGGUGAGGCUCAUCCAUUGCACUGCGGGUGUGCUGACACAGACUAACACGGCUACUACACUGUAACCUUAAAU
ensembl:snRNA U1 U1 spliceosomal RNA